GAUGAACGCUAGCGGCAGGCUUAAUACAUGCAAGUCGUACGGGAUCCGAAGUAGCAAUACUUUGGUGAGAGUGGCGCACGGGUGCGUAACACGUAUGCAACCUACCUUUAACCGGGACACAACCCACCGAAAGGUGAGCUAAUAUCCCAUAACACUGCGAAGUGGCAUCACUUUGCAGUUAAAACUCCGGUGGUUAUAGAUGGGCAUGCGCGACAUUAGCUAGUUGGUGAGGUAACGGCCCACCAAGGCUACGAUGUCUAGGGGUUCUGAGAGGAUUAUCCCCCACACUGGUACUGAGACACGGACCAGACUCCUACGGGAGGCAGCAGUAAGGAAUAUUGGUCAAUGGGCGCAAGCCUGAACCAGCCAUGCCGCGUGAAGGAUGACGGCCCUAUGGGUUGUAAACUUCUUUUGUACGGGAAAAAACCACCGGUCGUGUAUCGGUGCUGAUGGUACCGUAAGAAUAAGCAUCGGCUAACUCCGUGCCAGCAGCCGCGGUAAUGUA
rnacentral:rRNA from 1 species